rnacentral:rRNA from 1 species
UGCCAGCCGCCGCGGUAAUACAGAGGUUGCGAGCGUUAAUCGGAUUUACUGGGCGUAAAGCGUGCGUAGGCGGCUUCGUAAGUUGGAUGUGAAAUCCCCGAGCUUAACUUGGGAAUUGCAUUCAAAACUGCGAGGCUAGAGUAUGGGAGAGGAUGGUAGAAUUCCAGGUGUAGCGGUGAAAUGCGUAGAGAUCUGGAGGAAUACCGAUGGCGAAGGCAGCCAUCUGGCCUAAUACUGACGCUGAGGUACGAAAGCAUGGGGAGCAAACAAGAUUAGAUA